rnacentral:rRNA from 1 species
CGCGUAGGCGGACAGUUUAGUCAGAGGUGAAAGCCCAGGGCUCAACCUUGGAAUCGCCUUUGAUACUGGCUGUCUUGAGUACGGGAGAGGUGAGUGGAACUCCGAGUGUAGAGGUGAAAUUCGUAGAUAUUCGGAAGAACACCAGUGGCGAAGGCGACUCACUGGCCCGUUACUGACGCUGAGGCGCGAAAGCGUGGGGAGCAAACA